CUGGGGAUACAGCUCAGCUGGCAGAGUGUUUGCCUAGCAUGCACAAGGCCUUGGGUUCAAUCCCAAGCACCACA
rnacentral:tRNA from 1 species